CGUACACUCCUGCGGGAGGCAGCAGUGGGGAAUAUUGCACAAUGGGCGCAAGCCUGAUGCAGCCAUGCCGCGUGUAUGAAGAAGGCCUUCGGGUUGUAAAGUACUUUCAGCGGGGAGGAAGGCGAUAAGGUUAAUAACCUUGUUGAUUGACGUUACCCGCAGAAGAAGCACCGGCUAACUCCGUGCCAGCAGCCGCGGUAAUACGGAGGGUGCAAGCGUUAAUCGGAAUUACUGGGCGUAAAGCGCACGCAGGCGGUCUGUCAAGUCGGAUGUGAAAUCCCCGGGCUCAACCUGGGAACUGCAUUCGAAACUGGCAGGCUAGAGUCUUGUAGAGGGGGGUAGAAUUCCAGGUGUAGCGGUGAAAUGCGUAGAGAUCUGGAGGAAUACCGGUGGCGAAGGCGGCCCCCUGGACAAAGACUGACGCUCAGGUGCGAAAGCGUGGGGAGCAAACAGGAUUAGAUACCCUUGUAGUCCCA
rnacentral:rRNA from 1 species